UCUUAGUAUCAAGCAUAACAACUGCAAAGAUGGCAUUUGCUCUUCACCUGUUGUUCCUCGUUUGUGGAAUCAGUGGACUGUUCACUGGAGUCGAAUCUGUCAAAUUGACUCCAAAAAUAGCCAAUAGCUGCCCUCGAGGCUGGACUCAGUUGGACUGUAAAUGUUUCAAU